rnacentral:rRNA from 1 species
CCUACGGGAGGCAGCAGUGGGGAAUAUUGGGCAAUGGGGGAAACCCUGACCCAGCAACGCCGCGUGAGGGAAGAAGGUUUUCGGAUUGUAAACCUCUGUUCUUGGGGAAGAGAAGAAGACGGUAACCAAGGAGGAAGCCCCGGCUAACUACGUGCCAGCAGCCGCGGUAAUACGUAGGGGGCGAGCGUUGUCCGGAAUGAUUGGGCGUAAAGGGUGCGUAGGCGGCGAUGCAAGUCAGAAGUGGAAGUCCUGCUUUCAAGGUAGGAAUUGCUUUUGAAACUGCAUGGCUUGAGUGCAGGAGAGGUUAUCGGAAUUCCCGGUGUAGCGGUGAAAUGCGUAGAGAUCGGGAGGAACACCAGUGGCGAAGGCGGGUAACUGGACUGCAACUGACGCUGAGGCACGAAAGUGUGGGGAGCAAACAGGCUUAGAUACCCCUGUAGUC